rnacentral:rRNA from 1 species
GGUGAACGCUGGCGGUAGGCCUAACACAUGCAAGUCGACCGGCAGCACAGUAAGAGCUUGCUCUUACGGGUGGCGCGUGGCGGACGGGUGAGGAAUACAUCGGAAUCUACUUUUUCGUGGGGGCUAACGUAGGGAAACUUACGCUAAUACCGCCUACGACCUACGGGUGAAAGCAGGGGAUCUUCGGACCUUGCGCGAUUGAAUGAGCCGAUGUCGGAUUAGCUGGUUGGCGGGGUAAGGGCCCACCAAGGCGACGAUCCGUAGCUGGUUUGAGAGGAUGAUCAGCCACACUGGAACUGAGACACGGUCCAGAGGCCUACGGGAGGAAGCGGUGGGGAAUAUUGGACAAUGGGCGCAAGCCUGAUCCAGUCAUACCGCGUGGGUGAAGAAGGCCUUCGGGUUGUAAAGCCGUUUUGUUGGGAAAGAAGAGCAGCAGGUUAAUACCCCGCUGUUCUGACGGUACCCAAAGAAUAAGCCCCGGCUAACUUCGUG